rnacentral:rRNA from 1 species
AUCAGUUGUGCCGCCAGGUGCACCGCUGAGUAGCUACGUUUGGAAGAGAUAAGCACUGAAAGCAUAUAAGUGCGAAACUCGCCGCAAGAUUAGACUUCUUUAAAGGGUCGUUGUAGACUACAACGUUGAUAGGCUAUAGAUGUAAAGGCAGUGAUGUCAUAGUCGAGUAGUACUAAUUACCCAUAGACUUUUUCUA